rnacentral:lncRNA from 10 species
AGAAAAAAAUUCAAAUGAUAACAAUUAUUUUUCUAAGAGAGAAAACAUCCACAAAAUGCAUUUCAAUCUGCCCAGUGAAUGAUUUUAGCAUUGUCAGUAGUCUCUACACAUGACUAACUUAGAACAACAGAAGUAAUUCUGAGUAAAGAGGAAUCAGAAUAAGUUUUAUAUUUCAACAACCCCACUGCUCUACGUGAAUUCCUGUUGAUGGAACCACUUCACCGACAACAUUUACUGCCAGGCAGAGAGGGGGCAAAUUCUUACAUAGCACGCUCAAAAGGGCCUCUGUGCUGUCUACUGUGGAACCAGGUAUACAAUGGGUGUCCCAUUCAGAAGUGGCUGAGUUCUUAGGCCUAGGCAAGGAUGAGAAGAUGCUUAGUGCAGAGCCAACAGACCCAAGCGGAACUGUGGCUCCUACCAUCAACUGCAGUCACCAACAUGAAAUGGCAAGCAAUGAACACUCUUGGAAACCACAGAGACUUGGGGGUUGUUUGUUACCAUGGAGAAGCUGCCCAGUACAUUUUGUUCCCUGAUAUGAGAUCAAUGAAAAUAAUUUCAUAGAAAAGCAUUGUUCAAUUAAAAAUUGAUGACAAAGACCUGGUGAGAAGAUGCAUGCUGCUUCCUCUACAUACAUGUCUCCAUAUUAUCUGAUGUAUUCAUUGCUGUACAAUAAAACGGUUUCCCCAGUAGCUUGUGGUCAUAGCACACAGAAGAGUGAUAAAAAUCAAGUUUCUAUUCUGUGCUUUCACAUUUCUCCUAUAGUUGUUUUCCAACCUCCUCCCAGGACAAUCUUCCUCCAAAUAAUCCAGGCCCUUCAAAGUGUCCUGGAACCCUUGUUACACAAUCCUAUAUAGACUACAAUCAACAUCCUCACUUCCUGUGUUCUACAUCCUGCACCCAUGCGACAAGGCACAGGAAAUGCAGGAUUCUAAGACAGUCCUCAACUACCAUGGCAAUACUACAAAACAAAGGCAGAGUUAAGAGGGAGUUACUUUUAUUGGAGUGACAAAGAUCUCUGGCUCCCCUACAAUCAGACUCAAGACCACAGAGAUUAUUGGCCUGUCUUAAACAUAAAUAAGCCUGUCUGAAAGAUUCAAGAUGCUGGGGCAAUUCCAUAGAUAUGAGAACGAUAAAAUGAACCCAAAAGUCAGAGGCACCCAAUAGCCAGGUGGAAAGCUCCUCUGGUCCUUUGAAGAAGGUGGUAGGGGAAGAACAGGAAUGAGGACAUUCUUCCCUUCCUCUAUUCAUAUAAACAUUAGCAAUGGUUUUCCGAACAAAGAAGAGCAGCUGCUUUCCAGCCAGUGGAUCAAAGUGUGAGCAGGUGACGAUGCCUGCUCUCUAAGAGAAGCCUAUCAGGCACCAAAGUGCAAAGGUGACAAUUAGAAUGGACAAGGUGUGAUAUUGGAUUCUGCUAGGACAGGCACCUGGUAUCAAUGUUCAGUCUGGCAUUGUUUCAACACAGUCUACCGUGGAUGAAGAUGACUAAAAUAAAAUAGCACCCAGCUACAGCAGGGUCGUUUUUUUUUCUUUUUUUUUUUUAAAAGGAGGACUGAUAAGCAACAAUUACCAAUGAGUUAAAUGGUAUCUGAUUACUCUCUUUCCCGGAGCAGCACAAAAUUCUUGCUCUUUACAGUAAUAGUCUCAGGGCUAUAAGAAGACAGAAGUAAAAUAAUGUAUUAUGAAUAACCAAUAUAAUAAUGCAUAUGCAUGGAUUAUUAAUAUGUAAACAUAUUAUAACUAAUAAUAAAUACACAUGAAAAGAAUGCAGAUAUUGAUGGCUUCUUUUUCAAACACAGUUGAUGGACGUAUACUGAGCCAUGCAUUUUCUCCUUAUGACAUUC